CAAGAAGCAAACAAGAACUUUGCAAAAGAGAUUGGUCUACGUGUUAUUCAUAUCUGUCUUCCUGAAGGCAGCACCAAGGAUGAGGUAACUUUUAAAUAUAGAUAACCAUAUGAAAGUUAAACCAGUGAAGGAAUGUACAGUAAAAGAUGACACUAUUCACAGCUGGCCUCCUCGUGCUUGGCAAGUUUGAUAAUCCUGCAGGCUUGAGAAUUCUGUGUACUGUUUUGUUUUUCGGAAUACUUUGUUCUUAAAAUGUUACUGCCUUGCAGUGUAACCUCGAGAACUGCUUCCAGAUACAUUGAAAGGAACUUUCUGUGAAGUUUUGUAGAUUACAGAUAGUCAUCUACCCAUUUAAGAAGAGUGGGCUUUUGAAAUAAACGAAUACAAUUUGUUGUUGGUAAAUGUGUUUUAUCUAUUGAGUAACACGGCAUGAAAUAGGUAAAAUCCGGUGACUAUUUGGCAGGAGUUGCAGUUACUUUGAAGCAGUAUCUUAGAAGUGAUAUUUAAAGUGGAGCUCUGUAUUUAAAGAGAAAUUUGGGUUAUUUCUGUUAUUUAAAGGAAGUUACUUCCAAUAAAAUUCAUCAUGGUUUGCUUAC